rnacentral:rRNA from 1 species
AACGCUGGCGGCGUGCCUAACACAUGCAAGUCGAACGAGAAAGUGGAGCAAUCCAUGAGUAAAGUGGCGACCGGGUGAGUAACACGUGACUAACCUACCUUUUAGUGGGGGAUAACCCCGGGAAACCGGGGCUAAUACCGCAUAACAUCGCAAGAUCAAAGCAGCAAUGCGCUGGAAGAGGGGGUCGCGGCUGAUUAGCUAGUUGGCGGGGUAACGGCCCACCAAGGCGAAGAUCGGUAUCCGGCCUGAGAGGGCGCACGGACACACUGGAACUGAAACACGGUCCAGACUCCUACGGGAGGCAGCAGUGGGGAAUUUUGCGCAAUGGGGGAAACCCUGACGCAGCAACGCCGCGUGGAGGAUGAAGCCCCUUGGGGCGUAAACUCCUUUCGACCAAGACGAUAAUGACGGUACUGGUGGAAGAAGCUUCG